rnacentral:lncRNA from 1 species
UGGGAAGAGUCCUGGAUUCAGAGAUCAGAGGACCUGACUUUGAAACCCGGCCAUGACAGUUGGCAACUAUGAGACCUCAAGUCUCUGGACUUCUCAGGACCGUUUCUCCAUCUCUUCCUCUCUGAAAUGAAGGGGUUCAUCUAGAUCACCUCUAAGUCAGAAAUGUGCUGAGUUGACGUCCCAUGGCAGGACAAAAAUCAAGAUCUCUAGCGAUGGUCCAGAGCCAGGGGAUGACCUUGGGAUCUUCAGUGUGUGACCAAGCCCUAAGUACCCUGCUUUAGCCACCUUCAUGGCCAUUGGAACAAAAUGUUUUCAUCUGCCCGUUUCACUAAGCCUUAAUCACCAAUUGGACUGUUCCUUCAGUCAAGCUGAGACUUGUUGAAGACCACAGUUUAAAAAGGCCCAAGAACCCCAUUGCAUCCAAGACCAUCUCCAGUCAUCCUGUAUCUGGCCCCUGGACCCAGAUGGCUUUGAAGAAGAAAGUAAAGCUAGUGAAUUUGCAUAACCAAGCCUCACUUAACUCCAAUUCACUUUCAUGUCAUGGCAUCUCCUCCCCAGUGUCAUGGUCAUCUUUGAAAUCGAAGGACAAACAACAACGUCACCCACAGCUGCUGGAAGCAAUGGAGACAAACAGAAGGCCAACAGAAAGCAGUUCUGGACACUCAAAGAUAAGAAACAGCUGUCACAGAAGAGCAGAAAGUUGACAAUUUAUCAUAAAAGAUAACCAUGGACAGAGGUAUCAGAUGUGACGCAGGGUCAGCCUGCAACGCUCCUGACUAUUGCUUUGAACAGAUUAAAAUGUUAUUGGGAAAUAUAUAACGAAAUUCAUUUAAAUACAAUCAAAUUUAAAUAAUAUUAUGUUUACAAUCAAGUCAAUAUGUGGUUCACAGGGAUUUACUGUCUUCUGUUUUUAUUUGAGUUAGACACAACUGAUGUAGCAAAAAAAACCAGUAACUUGCAGCACUGUGGCAGCAUCCAAAACAAAGAGGUGUUCCCAUUGGGCUUGGCCCCAGGAGUUUAAGUUACCCUGUCUAUAUCUGCAUGUUCUCUCAUCCAUGUGGGUUACCUGACAAAAUGUUUUUUUCUUUCCCAUUGCUGUGUGAAUUUUCAGGAAAAUGUACUCUUUUAUGCAUAGUAAAAUUUCCCUUGUUAUUUAUCUGAAAAUAAUUGAGGUUUGCCAUUGUGAUAAUAAUUGGUAUUAAAAAG